UGCUGCUUGGUGUAGGUGGAACAUACCCGUAUCUACGCGGGGGAAGGGGGUUCGAGUCCCUCAGCAGUUG